UUGCCUUAAACUAAUGAGUAAGGAAAAUAACGAUCUGGGUGACGCCAGAUCUACGCAUAGAUUUAGCGUACCGAUUUUUGAAGGAUAGAGGUCGCCCUUGGACAGCUUGCUUACUUUCGCAGGAAGUCCUUGUGGAAGCGAUCUCC